UACGUAGGGCGCAGGCGUUAAUCGGAAUUACUGGGCGUAAAGUGUGCGCAGGUGGCCGCGCAAGUCGAGUGUGAAAAUCCCCGAGCUUAACUUGGGAAUUGCGCUCGAAACUACGUGGCUCGAGUGUGGCAGAGGAAGGUGGAAUUCCACGUGUAGCGGUGAAAUGCGUAGAGAUGUGGAGGAAUACCGAUGGCGAAGGCAGCCCCCCUGGGAUAACACUGACGCUCAUGCACGAAAGCGUGGGGGAGCAAACAGG
rnacentral:rRNA from 1 species